rnacentral:tRNA from 1 species
GAGGGUAUAGCUCAGUGGCAGAGUGCCUGCUUAGCAUGCACGAGGUCCUGGGUUCAAUCCCCAGCACCUCCA